GAGCGGAACGAGUUAACUGAACCUUCGGGGGACGUUAACGGCGUCGAGCGGCGGACGGGUGAGUAAUGCCUAGGAAAUUGCCCUGAUGUGGGGGAUAACCAUUGGAAACGAUGGCUAAUACCGCAUGAUGCCUACGGGCCAAAGAGGGGGACCUUCGGGCCUCUCGCGUCAGGAUAUGCCUAGGUGGGAUUAGCUAGUUGGUGAGGUAAGGGCUCACCAAGGCGACGAUCCCUAGCUGGUCUGAGAGGAUGAUCAGCCACACUGGAACUGAGACACGGUCCAGACUCCUACGGGAGGCAGCAGUGGGGAAUAUUGCACAAUGGGCGCAAGCCUGAUGCAGCCAUGCCGCGUGUGUGAAGAAGGCCUUCGGGUUGUAAAGCACUUUCAGUCGUGAGGAAGGUAGUGGAGUUAAUAGCUGCAUUAUUUGACGUUAGCGACAGAAGAAGCACCGGCUAACUCCGUGCCAGCAGCCGCGGUAAUACGGAGGGUGCGAGCGUUAAUCGGAAUUACUGGGCGUAAAGCGCAUGCAGGUGGUUUGUUAAGUCAGAUGUGAAAGCCCGGGGCUCAACCUCGGAAUAGCAUUUGAAACUGGCAGACUAGAGUACUGUAGAGGGGGGUAGAAUUUCAGGUGUAGCGGUGAAAUGCGUAGAGAUCUGAAGGAAUACCGGUGGCGAAGGCGGCCCCCUGGACAGAUACUGACACUCAGAUGCGAAAGCGUGGGGAGCAAACAGGAUUAGAUACCCUGGUAGUCCACGCCGUAAACGAUGUCUACUUGGAGGUUGUGGCCUUGAGCCGUGGCUUUCGGAGCUAACGCGUUAAGUAGACCGCCUGGGGAGUACGGUCGCAAGAUUAAAACUCAAAUGAAUUGACGGGGGCCCGCACAAGCGGUGGAGCAUGUGGUUUAAUUCGAUGCAACGCGAAGAACCUUACCUACUCUUGACAUCCAGAGAACUUUUCAGAGAUGAAUUGGUGCCUUCGGGAACUCUGAGACAGGUGCUGCAUGGCUGUCGUCAGCUCGUGUUGUGAAAUGUUGGGUUAAGUCCCGCAACGAGCGCAACCCUUAUCCUUGUUUGCCAGCGAGUAAUGUCGGGAACUCCAGGGAGACUGCCGGUGAUAAACCGGAGGAAGGUGGGGACGACGUCAAGUCAUCAUGGCCCUUACGAGUAGGGCUACACACGUGCUACAAUGGCGCAUACAGAGGGCGGCCAACUUGCGAAAGUGAGCGAAUCCCAAAAAGUGCGUCGUAGUCCGGAUUGGAGUCUGCAACUCGACUCCAUGAAGUCGGAAUCGCUAGUAAUCGUGGAUCAGAAUGCCACGGUGAAUACGUUCCCGGGCCUUGUACACACCGCCCGUCACACCAUGGGAGUGGGCUGCAAAAGAAGUAGGUAGUUUAACCUUCGGGG
rnacentral:rRNA from 1 species